rnacentral:misc_RNA from 1 species
UUUGGGGGUGAUUUAAUGUUGCAGGUGAAUGGAACUUCUGUGAUAGGCUUUACAAACCACCAAGCUGUAGAAGUUCUAAAAAACACCGGAUCUUUAGUCAAUAUUAAAUUCGAGCGGUACCUUCGAGGCCCCAAAUAUGAACAAUUGCAACAAGCGAUCAAGGCAAAUGAAAUGCGCCCUCCAUCUCCGCCAUCCCCGACGAUUUCUUCCCUCCCCAAAGUCCCAUUUAGUUUAGUGCACAUGAGCCAUUUGGGUAUUGAACCUGAAGGCGAAUCGCACACUAGUAUCGAUUUCGAUUCGGCGGUUCUUUUCGAAUCCAUCAGUCCAGUGGAUGAGGAGAAGGAGAUUGUGAUCGAUGGUGGCAAGUCGCUGCAGUUUAGUAUUAAGAGUCAAGAGGCGAUUUUUGAAAAAUGGAAAGAUUUGAUCGAUAAAAGUGCACAAAUUGUGAUAGCGGAAAUGAACAAAACAGAACAAAGCGGACUAGGGAUUAGUUUGGAGGGCACGGUGGAUGUGGAGGAUGGGAAGGAGGUCAGACCGCAUCAUUACAUCAGGAAUAUUCUUCCAGAUGGGCCGGUUGGCCUCAACGGUGUUUUGCAAUCUGGCGAUGAAUUAUUGGAGGUGAAUGGAAUUCAGCUACUCGGACUCAAUCACCUUGAAGUAGUUUCAAUUUUAAGGCAACUUCCUACUUUCGUCAAUCUAGUUUGUGCUCGGUACCCUGUUCCUAUUAGAAUAAUUGAUACAUCGCAGCAUCCCGAAGCGUUCCAAGCCAGAAAAAUCCUGGCCGGCAGUCUACAGACUCUUAUUCCAACUGCGGACGCUUCGCGUCUUGUCAAAGCCAAGUCCGAAUCGUCAAUCGCUUCCAGUUUGGGCAGCGAAGCAGUGAGCACAAGCAAAUCCAGAUCUCUGGAACUGAUCGCCGGACUGCCCAUGUGGUGCGAAGAAGCCACCAUUGUAGAAUUAAGUAAAGGGGACCAUGGCCUGGGAUUUUCCAUUUUAGAUUAUCAGGACCCGUUAAGUCCUCAAGAAACUGUGAUAGUCAUCCGUUCUCUAGUGCCGGGUGGUGUAGCGCAAGCCGAUGGCAGAUUGAUUCCAGGAGAUCGAUUAUUGGCAGUCGAUAAUAUUGAUGUUAGUCGUGCGCCUCUAGAUACUGCCGUCCAGGUGCUCAAAGGCCUACCAAAGGGUCCGGUAAAAAUUGCCGUUGCCAAGCCUUUAAAUGGAGGCGAUGCAGUUUCCCGUACCAGCCAGGAAACUGAAGAAGAUCAGACCUGCCUCGAGGACUUCCAAGAAUGCAUCGAAGAAUUCCAGGAAGAUCUGGUGAGCGUGCCGAUUUUCAUCGAAGAUGAACACUCGUUCAACCAUUCGCCGUGUACAUCGCAAGUGGAGGAUUUCGGGCAAAAAAACUUCCAUCGUCACAACCACGUUUCGAACGCAGACAUUUUAGAAAAUAACUAUCUGAAUAUCAAAGAGUUAGCUAGGGAUAGUAUCGGUGACAGUGAUAUCGAUAUUAGUUUCAAAAGUACGAACGAUAACUGUUUGGACCACAGCGGAAGAAAUGGCGGUUGUGAUAAUAUUCAAUUGAUAAUGAAGAGUCAGAAACGGACGUGUUUUGAGAAAACCGACAGCUUGACGCAGAGCGAAAAACCCUCGUUGUCCGACAAGGAUGACUAUGAAACGUGCAUGAGCGACUCCUUGUCGGAGAACAAUACCAAAGUGGAAAAACCUCAAGUACAAAUCCUCGACGAUAACGUCAACGUUGAAACUUUCUUCGGAAUGGACGAUACAACCCCCACAAAUUCUAAAGUAGAUUUAAGCAACUCUAGUCACUUUUAUACUACCAGCUUCUUUAAAACCAGUGCCACGAAUCAAGUGCCAAGUUCAUCCGAACCAUGUUUGCCUACGGAACCCUUUCCCAACUCCAAAUCCAUUUGCUUUGAAACGAAACUGGACGAUUUGAAGUCGUAUGAUAAUCAGGACGUUUGUGAAGGCGACGAGUUUUUUCUAGUCCAGUACCCUUCGGAACCAUCGAAACAAGUGGUGUGUAAAAGUGUCAGUGUGCCCAACGUUCAAGACAAUUCCGAUCUUUCCGCCAAUAGCAAACUUACCUAUAAACUUCGCGAGUAUUACAAUGACUAUGAAAAUUGUCUGGAUGCGUACAAGGAAGCAACGAUUUUCGAGAAAAUCAGCUGGGAAAUGAGCGAUUCGCAGAUUUUCAACGAAAUUUUUUUACCGUUCAAAAGCCGAUCAGCACCCAAUGUUAUGGACAGGUCUUUUGUUACACUCACUUAUGAUCCUGGACCUGAUUCGGGUCGAAGAAAAUCUGCUUUCGUUGCAGGCUAUCCGAUUAAUGAAUGUGAAAUGACGGUGAUAAGGCACAUCGAACCCGAUUACGGAAACAUGAAGAACCACAAAGAAAGUGCUGUGCACAAGCAUUGGGGCUCCACUCAUGUAGUCAAAGUCUUCAGGGAAGCGAACAAAAGUUUGGGCAUCAGCAUUGUUGGAGGAAAGGUAGAUGUGCAAUCUUCAGAUCGUCAAACCGAAGCUCUGUUGGGGAUAUUUGUUAAGCAUGUCACUCCCGAGUCUCCAGCAGGAAAAACGGGCCAAUUCAAGACGGGAGACCGGAUAUUAGAAGUAAGUGGCAUCGAUUUAAGGGAGGCGACUCAUGACAAGGCCGUGGAAGCCAUCAGGAGUGCUCCUAAUCCUGUCGUGUUCCUCGUUCAGUCCCUAAUUCCCUGGUUAAAUUUGCAACAUGACAAUAAUAUAGCCGAUGAUAACGACUGCCGUUUGCCUUUGUCAUCGCCAAACACUCAGGAGAAAAAAGGACUUGCCGUAAAUUUCGCUGAUAACGGGAAUGCCCCCGAACUUCCUGUUAACCAUCAAGAUGAUCAAUGUGUUUCAAAAGAAGAUUCCAAUGAGCACAACGAAGAAAUAAGCUCUUUAUCGGAAAUUAACAAACCUACUGCCGACCAGUCUGUGAUUAUUGACUCGGGAAGUGAUGAGGAGGACGAAGAAGAUGCAGCUGAACUGGAAGGUAGAACAGUUUCAUCUAAAGGACAUCAGAUUGAUCGAGCCAGUGCGGCAAAUUUCAAACGAAGCAAAGAAGAAAUUGCUGCAGAUAAGGAGGAGGAAGACGACUUCGGAUACACUACAAAUAAAGUGAAAAAAAAGUACGGAAAUCUGGGUCAUACCAUUCUCAUGGUGCAAUUGGAGCGCGAUUCAGGAGGGUUGGGUCUAAGUCUGGCUGGACACCGAGAUCGAAGCUGUAUGGCUGUUUUUGUCUGCGGAUUGAACCCGAAUGGAGCCGCUUUCAAAACAGGAUCUGUAGAGAUCGGCGACGAAAUUUUGGAAGUCAAUGGUGUUGUGCUACACGGUCGAUGUCAUCUGAACGCUUCUGCGAUUAUUAAAGGUCUAACAGGACCUGUUUUUAAAGUCAUUAUUUUAAGGCGAAAAGCUGCCGUCGAUGAUAUUGCCGUUAAACCAAUCACUCAGUUUCCAGUUUCACUUGCAGAAGAGAUAUCAGAAGAACAUUUCAGUGCCACCUAUCCAAAUGUCCGAACAUUGGCUAUUAAAAAGACAAGUCCGAGUUUGGGUAUUAUGAUAAUAGAAGGCAAACAUGCCGAAGUUGGACAAGGCAUAUUCAUAUCAGAUAUUCAACGAGGCAGCGCUGCAGAAGAGGCUGGCCUUGAAAUUGGAGAAAUGAUCCUGGCGGUCAAUAAAGACUCUCUAGUGGGCUCCAGCUAUGAUACGGCUGCAAACUUGCUUAAAAGGACCGAAGGGCUCGUGACAUUAGUCGUCUCAAAGCCUGGCAAAAAAGACCAAGCUCGAGCCGUCACCCCCACGCCUCCAUCGCAACCAAAUGCUGAAGACGUGGGAAAGGCCACUUUGAAAACUCCUACAACGCCUUCUAGGCCUACUACACCUGUACCUGAACCUCCAGCGGAUCCCUUAUCCUGUUCGAUAGUCCCAGGGAGAGAUACUGUGAUUGAAAUAAAUACCAACGAUGAGGCCCUUGGUAUUUCGUUCAUUGGGGGAAAAGACACCGUUAUAAAUAAUGCCAUUAUUCUGACGGAAAUUUAUCAAGGCGGUGCCGCAGAUAAGGAUGGCCGGCUGCAAGAGGGCGACCAAAUUGUUGAAGUCAAUGGAACUUCUCUUAGGGAAAGUACAAACACAACUGCAUCUCAAGCUUUGAGACAAACACUGCCAAAGAUGAAAAUCAUUGUAUUUCGACCAACCAAUGUAGAAUAUUCUCCGAUGGAAGUGGAGUUAGUUAAGAAACCUGGAAAAGGACUCGGAUUAAGUAUUAAUGGAAAGAAAUCGGGGAAAGGUGUCUACAUUGCUGAUAUUGUACCCGGAACGCCAGCAGAACUAGAUGGUAGAAUAGCAAAAGGCGACAUUUUAAUAGCCGUCAAUGGGCAAAAUGUGGAGAAUGUGACGAGCGGAGAAGCAGGGGCCAUAUUAAAGACUGCGAUGGGUAAAGUUUCGUUGAAACUGCAUAGAUAUAAGCCAAGUACAAGUAAUCAACAACCUUAACUAGGCGAUUAGUUCUCUUAGAAAUCGUAGUUCCAAAUAAUGUUUCCUUAUUACGGCAAGUCGUCGUCUUCAGCUUGUAUGGAAAAAUGAGUCUCGAUUGAGCCGAUCCAUCAGCCACACCUAUUUUCAUAAGGCAACAAGACACACCAUUUUAAUUAACGUUCAGCAAUCGACACCUUAAGGAGACAGCCUCUGAUAAGUCGCAGAUCAUCAAUUAUUUUAAAGCAAGUGUGAUAUUCAUGUCCUGUACGCCGAAGCGUUACGAAAUUAGCCCCUUCUGUAGAAGAAUGCCUCGAGGGGGUAUAGAAUUAAAGAAAUAUUACGAAAUGC